UCAUUAGGCAUUUAGGCCCAUUUACUUAGGGUUUUCUACGGUUCUACGCUUCUACCAGAGUACCAGCCUCCAUCUUUCAUUUCAUCCAAUGUUCCAAUGCAUUCUAGGGUCUUCUACUCUUCUCUAGGUUUCUCCGUUCUCCACCCUUUUCUCAUCUCUCUUUCGUUCUCCGUUCUCCUCUCUCCUCAAAAUCUCAUCCUCCCUAAUUCUCUCGGCCGUCUUCGAAUCUCCGGUACUAGACGCCGUUACUCGAAUCCAAGCAAGGAAGCCUGCUGUUUGCUGGUUCUAGUGCUUGCUGACUUGCUCUAAUCCUAGCAUUAUUUUACGAUUUUGAAUAAGACCGUGUACCCGGUUCCGGGACCAGUUCCAAGAAACUUGGAUCUGGUACUAACCGGUUUUGGGACCAGUUCCAAUUCUUGAGACUCGGUCAUAACCGAUUCCGGAUCCGGGUAUUGAGAAUAUGACCGAGUACCCGGUUGUGCUCACUCCUAGGCGUGGCAAUUUUGAUGGAAAUUUUGAAUCACAAUCUUGAAAACAAUAUUUUGACGUAAUCAAGGUGCUUAAUUAUUUUUGUCGAUUUGUUCCCAAAGAUGAAUAUUUCACUCUCACACAAAGAUAUUUUUGGAUGAGAGGUUGGAGAUUUGGAGUCACAUGAACUUAUGUAGUUAUGUCUAAUAGAAAUAAGAAAGCUAUGGAUAGUAUUGUAUCCCUACAUUUUAA